rnacentral:piRNA from 1 species
UGUGUAUGAUGUUCUUUCUGAUCGUGG